rnacentral:rRNA from 1 species
UGGGGAAUCUUGGACAAUGGGCGCAAGCCUGAUCCAGCCAUGCCGCGUGAAGGAUGAAGUAUUUCGGUAUGUAAACUUCGAAAGAAUAGGAAGAAUAAAUGACGGUACUAUUUAUAAGGUCCGGCUAACUACGUGCCAGCAGCCGCGGUAAUACGUAGGGACCCAGCGUUGUUCGGAUUUACUGGGCGUAAAGGGCGCGUAGGCGGCAAUUCAAGUCAUCUGUGAAAUCUCCGGGCUUAACUCGGAACGGUCAGAUGAUACUGCUUUGCUAGAGUGCAGAAGGGGCAAUCGGAAUUCUUGGUGUAGCGGUGAAAUGCGUAGAUAUCAAGAGGAACACCUGAGGUGAAGACGGGUUGCUGGGCUGACACUGACGCUGAGGCGCGAAAGCCAGGGGAGCAAACGGGAUUAGAUACCCGAGUAGUCCCUGAGCGGGCUGGCAAGGCGCAU